UAUGUAUGCUUUAUGUAAUAGAAUAGGUAUAGAUGUAUGUGGGUUCUGAUAAGAGUUGAUGGGUGGAGUUGUAGGAGAGUGAUUUGGUUGAAUUGGAGACUACAGUGGAACCCGCAUGGCCAAAGUUGGUUGAGCCGUUGGAGAAGAUCCUAGACCGACUAUGGAUCGUUUGGGGGAUUGUGAAUCAUCUGAAUGCUAUCAAGGAUUCUCCUGAACUCCGUUCUGCCAUCACAGAAGUUCAGGUUGAGUUUCAGUUAAGGGUGGGCCAGAGCAAACCCAUUUAUAAUGCAUUUAAAACAAUCCGAGAAUCUUCAGAUUGGGAAACAUUGAGUGAUGCCCGUAAACAAGUAGUGGAAGAUAUUUCCCAUGUAGGAGUGUGCUUCUUGUGGAAUGCAUGCCUGUGGAGAAUGUGGCU